UACGGAAGGCAGCAGUGGGGAAUAUUGGACAAUGGGCGAAAGCCUGAUCCAGCCAUGCCGCGUGUGUGAAGAAGGUCUUCGGAUUGUAAAGCACUUUAAGUUGGGAGGAAGGGCAGUAAAUUAAUACUUUGCUGUUUUGACGUUACCGACAGAAUAAGCACCGGCUAACUCUGUGCCAGCAGCCGCGGUAAUACAGAGGGUGCAAGCGUUAAUCGGAAUUACUGGGCGUAAAGCGCGCGUAGGUGGUUCGUUAAGUUGGAUGUGAAAUCCCCGGGCUCAACCUGGGAACUGCAUUCAAAACUGACGAGCUAGAGUAUGGUAGAGGGUGGUGGAAUUUUCCUGUGUAGCGGUGAAAUGCGUAGAUAUAGGAAGGAACACCAGUGGCGAAGGCGACCACCUGGGACUGAUACUGACACUGAGGUGCGAAAGCGUGGGGAGCAAACAGGGAUUAGAUACC
rnacentral:rRNA from 1 species